ensembl:lncRNA
CCGCGGUCCCCAGAGCCCCGGGAGGCGCCGCCGAGGGGGAGCGGGACCGUGGGGUUGGGGAGCACGGCGAGCCCCGUGCCGGCCGCCCCGCCCCUCCCCGCGUUCUGUGUCCGCGGUCGAGGCGUGUGUCGGGUGGGAGUAUCGCAAAUCGCGAGCUUGAAAGAUAGAAAUGCCCGUUGCGCUGGCUGCGUAGCCAAAAGGAAAGCUCACAGCGGUCGGUGGAGCAGAGGGCUUGGAAGGCGGGGAGCUUAGGGCGCUGCUGGAUGAGUGAAGGAACGCACCGAAGGACGAGGGAGCGUGUGUUCGGCACGUCUGCCCCGAAGACGAGAACGAUGCCCGCAGCGGUCACGGAACGCGGACAUGUCGCCCGCUGCACGGCGAGGGCGGGCUGGGAGGUGGGCGCCCCGAAGUCACACGGCGAGUUCUGCCCGAGAAAUACGCCUGGUGUCCAAAAGCUGAAAGCGUGAAUUACGCGCGUCAUGUGGUCCCUCCAGAGGGACUUUACAGUAGCGAAAUCCGAAGCGACAAGAGCUCUGACUUACUUCAUGCGAGCUUUUAGACAGGAACUUCCCCAAAAGUCCUGGAAAUCAAAGACACGCUUCAGUAGAUAUAUUUGCUGUUCUCAAAACAGUUUCCACGAUGACUAAAAACUGAGAACACUUCGAUAUUUCUGUGGUGCAGAGUAGAUUUAAAAUAGCACCGUCUGUGCCUGUAUUUCCCCACGUACUGCGCUUGUUUCCAGUAAAAUGAGGCAACGGUGUUUCACUUUAAGAGCUUUAAGUCUAAAGCAUUGUCUUCAACUCACAUCAUCCUUCUACUCUUCCACGUUAUUAUUAUCUUUAUAAUUGCCACUGGCACAGUUACAAAUGGAGGGCCUAAUCCUGACUUCAUUGACAUGGACAAGCCUGAUAAAGCCAUUGGGAUUGGGGAUGGGAGAAGAGAUUGAAAAGUCAAACUCUAAAAACUGUCUGAAGGCAAACAAAUGUAGAAGACAAGAGGGCUUAUAGGGCAGAAUGAAUCAUGGAGCACUUAAUGUAUGUCUAGUUUUGAACAUGGCAAUAGCGAGUUCAAUCUGACAGUAUCCAACUAAUAAAUGGUUUGCUGGAUGAGAGAAGUAAAUAAUGCCCAAGCACCUUGUUUUUAAAGCAGAUGAAUAGCUGUUCGCUCAUUUGCAUAAAAAUAAUGGAUAGUAUAUGUUUUCUGUCAGUGGAAGCGAGGAAAUGCUUGUGAAUGUUGCAAGUAAUUUCCAGUGGCAUGGUGCAGAGACUAAAAUGUGAGCUAGAGAACAGUGCAUUCCAAGCAGGCAAGCGUUUUAAAAUGUAUGCUUAUGAUACCAUUAAAAAAAAUAUUUGAUGACUUUUGCUCUCGUGUCAAUACUGGAUGUGCUGUUAAAAGUCCAUAAUAAACAUGAGAAAUGCAGAAGAUAACAUUGUGGACAUAAUACUGAAAUCAGAACCAUGAUUUGUUGUGGGUUUCCCUCACUACUUUGUCAUUUCUCUUCAAAGCUGUUUCUACCUUUCACUUGAAAGGAGCUCUUUGAGUUCUGAGUAAAUAGAAAACAUCUCAAGCUCAGAUUACUCAAAUGUUUUGAUAACUUUACAGGAAUUUAAAUGUGAUUAGAAAUUGUCAAGGUAAUUAUUAAAGAUAUCUUUAUGUGCUGUGUCAUUUAAACUGUUCUCACCACUGAGAUUGUAAUUAAUUCCUUUAAUGUCUGUUGGGCUGACACAAUAUAGAACUGUUUUUUUUUUUUUUUUUUUUUUUUUUUUUUUUAACAAAUUAUGUUCCUGGGGCAUGCUCCUGUUCCCCUUGAAGUUAAUAGGAGUAUGAGUGAGUCACUGCUCUGCUGGGAGAACAGCAACUGCCUGGCUUUAAAGUCCAAAGUAAACAUUUUUUUUUUGAAGAAGAAGUUAAAACAGUUACUAGUAUAUUUUUUUCUUCUGUAGAAAAUAACUGUGUUACAAAAGCAGCACUAAUAAAACAAAAAACCUCUGAAAUAUGCUUAAUCCUAUCAAAC